GAUGAACGCUGGCGGCGUGCCUAAUACAUGCAAGUCGAGCGAACAGACGAGGAGCUUUCUCCUCUGACGUUAGCGGCGGACGGGUGAGUAACACGUGGAUAACCUACCUAUAAGACUGGGAUAACUUCGGGAAACCGGAGCUAAUACCGGAUAAUAUAUUGAACCGCAUGGUUCAAUAGUUAAAGACGGUUUUGCUGUCACUUAUAGAUGGAUCCGCGCCGCAUUAGCUAGUUGGUAAGGUAACGGCUUACCAAGGCGACGAUGCGUAGCCGACCUGAGAGGGUGAUCGGCCACACUGGAACUGAGACACGGUCCAGACUCCUACGGGAGGCAGCAGUAGGGAAUCUUCCGCAAUGGGCGAAAGCCUGACGGAGCAACGCCGCGUGAGUGAUGAAGGUCUUCGGAUCGUAAAACUCUGUUAUUAGGGAAGAACAAAUGUGUAAGUAACUAUGCACGUCUUGACGGUACCUAAUCAGAAAGCCACGGCUAACUACGUG
rnacentral:rRNA from 1 species